rnacentral:rRNA from 1 species
AGAGUUUGAUCCUGGCUCAGAUUGAACGCUGGCGGCGUGCUUAACACAUGCAAGUCGUGCGAGAAAGGGGACUUCGGUUCCUGAGUAGAGCGGCGCACGGGUGAGUAACGCGUGGGUGAUCUACCCGGAAGUCUGGGAUAACGGUGGGAAACUGCCGCUAAUACCGGUUAAUCUUCCAAUUCGAAUUGGAGGGAAAGACGGCCUCUGCUUGCAAGCUGUCGCUUUCGGAUGAGCCCGCGUCCCAUUAGCUCGUUGGCGGGGUAACGGCCCACCAAGGCAACGAUGGGUAGCUGGUCUGAGAGGAUGAUCAGCCACACUGGGACUGGAACACGGCCCAGACUCCUACGGGAGGCAGCAGUGGGGAAUAUUGCGCAAUGGGGGAAACCCUGACGCAGCGACGCCGUGUGAGGGAAGAAGGCCUUCGGGUCGUAAACCUCUGUCGGGAGGGAAGAACCGCCGGGUUCCGAACAGGGACUCGGCCUGACGGUACCUCCGAAGAAAGCGCCGGCUAACUCCGUGCCAGCAGCCGCGGUAAUACGGAGGGCGCGAGCGUUAAUCGGAAUCACUGGGCGUAAAGCGCGCGUAGGCGGCCAGAUAAGUCGGGCGUGAAAGCCCUCGGCUCAACCGAGGAACUGCGUUCGAUACUGUUUGGCUUGAGUCCUGGAGAGGGUGGCGGAAUUCCGGGUGUAGUGGUGAAAUGCGUAGAUAUCCGGAGGAACACCAGUGGCGAAAGCGGCCUUCUGGACCAUUUCUGACGCUAAGAUGCGAAAGCUAGGGUAGUAAACGGGAUUAGAGACCCCGGUAAUCCUAGCCGUAAACGAUGUAGACUUGGCGUUGGCGGAGUUAAAUCUGCCAGUGCCGUAGCUAACGCGAUAAGUCUACCGCCUGAGGAUUACGAUCGCAAGGUUAAAACUCAAAGGAAUUGACGGGGGCCCGCACAAGCAGCGGAGCGUGUGGUUUAAUUCGAUGAUACACGAAGAACCUUACCAAGGUUUGACAUGCAAGUGGUAGUGAACUGAAAAGGGAACGACCCUUCGGGGAGCUUGCACAGGUGCUGCAUGGCUGUCGUCAGCUCGUGUCGUGAGAUGUUCGGUUAAGUCCGCUAACGAGCGCAACCCUCACUGUGUGUUAUACGUGUCACACGGGACCGCCGGUUUUAAGCCGGAGGAAGGUGGGGAUGACGUCAAGUCAGCAUGGCCUUUAUAUCUUGGGCCACACACACGCUACAAUGGCCAGUACAAUGGGAUGCCAAGCCGCAAGGCGGAGCCAACCCUCAAAGCUGGUCUCAGUUCGGAUUGCAGGCUGCAACUCGCCUGCAUGAAGCCGGAGUUGCUAGUAACCGCAGGUCAGCUAUACUGCGGUGAAUACGUUCCCGGGCCUUGCACUCACCGCCCGUCA